rnacentral:rRNA from 1 species
GAUGAACGCUGGCGGCGUGCCUAAUACAUGCAAGUCGAGCGAACAGACGAGGAGCUUGCUCCUCUGACGUUAGCGGCGGACGGGUGAGUAACACGUGGAUAACCUACCUAUAAGACUGGGAUAACUUCGGGAAACCGGAGCUAAUACCGGAUAAUAUAUUGAACCGCAUGGUUCAAUAGUGAAAGACGGUUUUGCUGUCACUUAUAGAUGGAUCCGCGCCGCAUUAGCUAGUUGGUAAGGUAACGGCUUACCAAGGCAACGAUGCGUAGCCGACCUGGGAGGGGGACCGGCCACACUGGAACUGAGACACGGUCCAGACUCCUACGGGAGGCAGCAGUAGGGAAUCUUCCGCAAUGGGCGAAAGCCUGACGGAGCAACGCCGCGUGAGUGAUGAAGGUCUUCGGAUCGUAAAACUCUGUUAUUAGGGAAGAACAAAUGUGUAAGUAACUAUGCACGUCUUGACGGUACCUAAUCAGAAAGCCACGGCUAACUACGU